GAUGAACGCUGGCGGCGUGCCUAAUACAUGCAAGUCGAGCGAAAAGAUGAGGAGCUUGUUCCUUUGACGUUAGCGGCGGACGGGUGAGUAACACGUGGAUCACCCACUUAUAUGUCUGGGAUAAUUUCGGGAAACCGGCUCUAAUACGGGAUAAUAUACUGAACCGUAUGGUUCAAUAGUGAAUGACGGCUUUUGUGUCAGUUAUAGAUGGAUCCGCGCCGCAUGAGCUAGUUGGUAAGGUCACGGCUUACCAAGGCUACCAUGCGUAGACGAUCUGAGAGGGUGAUCGGCCACACGGGAAGGGAGACACGGUCCAGACGCCUACGGGAGGCAGCAGUAGGGAAUCUGCCGCAAUAGGCGAAAGCCUGACGGAGCAGCGCCGCGUGAGAGAUAAAGGUCUUCGGAUCGUAAAGCUCUGUUAUUAGGGAAGAACAGAUGUGUAAGUAACUAUGCACGUCGUGACGGUACCUAGUCAGAAAGCCACGGCUAACUACGUG
rnacentral:rRNA from 1 species